AUUGUUGUCUCCUAUAAAGGUGUCAGACACAGCAGCAACUGUGAAGACAUCCCUUGCCCUCCCCGAUAGCCCUCGGUUGAUCAUUCUAGGUCCAAUGAUUCCUGACCAGCGUUGGAUGGUUAGCAUCGAGGGCCACGUGGUGCGAAGGAGCAACGUUUGUUUUGGGGCUUGCUGUUGUCUUCGCAUGCUACUACAACUUCAACCUCCAAUAUCAGGAUCUGGCUGCCUGCACACUUGAAUUCAUACAGAGAAGCUGUGUUGGGAUUAACCCAGAGAGAGGGACAAAGGCACGUCAGGGAAAGGUGACCAGCAAGAAGAGCGGGCGAAUGGUCCAAAAGAAAGUGACAUCCCUGAAUCCGCAUGUGUGCACCCUCUUGAGGAAGCUCAUGGACUUCGAGUGGGACUUUGUAUGAGUUUAUCACUACCCUGACUCUGUCCAUGGAGUUCAGAUGAGUACACAUACACACGCACGCACACACACACACACACACACACACACACACACACACACACACACACACACACACACACACACACACACACAAACACACACACACACACAGACGCACACACCCACACCCACAUCCUUCUAUGUAUGGGUCUCACUUCUUCACAUUGUCCAUGGAGUUCAGAUGAGUACACAUAUACACACUCACUAAUCCUUCAUAUCUAUGGAUGUGUCUCACGCAUUCACAUUGCUAUUUGUAUUUGUAAGGGCUAUUUUUGUUUUAUUUGUAUCUAUUAUCUUAACAAUGUCCAACCAGACAUUAUUUCUGUUAAAUUUUGAAGUUAGCGCACAAUAUUGUUCAACAGCAUAGAUCUGUCAAGUAAAAAACUCUAGCGUACUGGGGAGGCUCUUUCCUUUUGAAACAUAACACUAUUGUCUCAGUCUGUAAAGUACAAUGCACAACGUACAAAUACACACAUAAAAAAAUUCAUUCACACCAGUAUUUAUAUGUGUAAUAGCUAUUUUGUGUUUUGGGCUAGCACACAGUAUUGUUCAAUAGUCAGUAUUGUUCUGUUAAGUAAAACCCCCUAGCGUAAUGGGGAGGCUCUUUUCUUUUGAAACAUUAGUAUUUACUCAGUUCAUCA